rnacentral:rRNA from 1 species
CGCGUAGGCGGGUAUGCAAGUCAGGUGUGAAAUUUAUGGGCUUAACCCAUAAACUGCAUUUGAAACUGUGUAUCUUGAGUGAUGGAGAGGUAAGUGGAAUUCCUAGUGUAGCGGUGGAAUGCGUAGAUAUUAGGAGGAACACCAGUGGCGAAGGCGACUUACUGGACAUUAACUGACGCUGAUGCGCGAAAGCGUGGGGAGCAAACAG